AGAGUUUGAUCCUGGCUCAGGAUGAACGCAGGCGGCGUGCCUAACACAUGCAAGUCGAGCGAUUUACUUCGGUAAAGAGCGGCGGACGGGUGAGUAACGCGUGGGUAACCUGCCCUGUACACACGGAUAACAUACCGAAAGGUAUGCUAAUACGAGAUAAUAUACUUUUAUCGCAUGGUAGAAGUAUCAAAGCUUUUGCGGUACAGGAUGGACCCGCGUCUGAUUAGCUAGUUGGUAAGGUAACGGCUUACCAAGGCGACGAUCAGUAGCCGACCUGAGAGGGUGAUCGGCCACAUUGGAACUGAGACACGGUCCAAACUCCUACGGGAGGCAGCAGUGGGGAAUAUUGCACAAUGGGCGAAAGCCUGAUGCAGCAACGCCGCGUGAGCGAUGAAGGCCUUCGGGUCGUAAAGCUCUGUCCUCAAGGAAGAUAAUGACGGUACUUGAGGAGGAAGCCCCGGCUAACUACGUGCCAGCAGCCGCGGUAAUACGUAGGGGGCUAGCGUUAUCCGGAAUUACUGGGCGUAAAGGGUGCGUAGGUGGUUUCUUAAGUCAGAGGUGAAAGGCUACGGCUCAACCGUAGUAAGCCUUUGAAACUGGGAAACUUGAGUGCAGGAGAGGAGAGUGGAAUUCCUAGUGUAGCGGUGAAAUGCGUAGAUAUUAGGAGGAACACCAGUUGCGAAGGCGGCUCUCUGGACUGUAACUGACACUGAGGCACGAAAGCGUGGGGAGCAAACAGGAUUAGAUACCCUGGUAGUCCACGCCGUAAACGGUGAGUACUAGCUGUCGGAGGUUACCCCCUUCGGUGGCGCAGCUAACGCAUUAAGUACUCCGCCUGGGAAGUACGCUCGCAAGAGUGAAACUCAAAGGAAUUGACGG
rnacentral:rRNA from 1 species